UUGAUUCACUGCCAUACAGUUAUUUUUCAUUUUUAUUGCUGAAAUUGUUGAGGUGCUUCAUCGCCUGAAAGCUGAGAAGGUAUUCCUCAGAGAGCCAGGAGCUGACUGGGGUAAACAGUGCUGCGCUGAUGAACGGGCCUCGCCCCAUUACUUCCUGUCAAGUUUCUCAGAUGUCUGUGUACCACUUAGACCAAAGGGAGAGACAGGUUCAGAGAGUAUUGGAGGGCAAUGUUUUUCCCAAACUGGUGAUGUUUUCAUGGUGAGUAUUAAUUUGGUAUGUCUGCUCUGUCCUUGUGGAUUGUAGU
rnacentral:lncRNA from 1 species